rnacentral:rRNA from 1 species
AACGAACGCUGGCGGCAGGCCUAACACAUGCAAGUCGAGCGCCCCAGCGAUGGGGAGCGGCGGACGGGUGAGUAACGCGUGGGAACGUACCCUUUGCUACGGAAUAGCCUCGGGAAACUGGGAGUAAUACCGUAUGUGCCCUUCGGGGGAAAGAUUUAUCGGCAAAGGAUCGGCCCGCGUUGGAUUAGGUAGUUGGUGGGGUAAUGGCCUACCAAGCCGACGAUCCAUAGCUGGUUUGAGAGGAUGAUCAGCCACACUGGGACUGAGACACGGCCCAGACUCCUACGGGAGGCAGCAGUGGGGAAUCUUAGACAAUGGGCGCAAGCCUGAUCUAGCCAUGCCGCGUGAGCGAUGAAGGCCUUAGGGUUGUAAAGCUCUUUCAGGGGGGAAGAUAAUGACUGUACCCCCACGAAGAAGCCCCGGCUAACUCCGUG